CUACGUAGCUCAGUUGGUUAGAGCACAUCACUCAUAAUGAUGGGGUCACAGGUUCAAAUCCCGUCGUAGCC
rnacentral:tRNA from 2 species